rnacentral:tRNA from 1 species
GUGGGUAUAGCUCAGCAGUAGAGCCUGUGCUUAGCCUGCAUAAGGUCCUGGGUUUAACCCCUGUACCUCCA